CUGAAAUGGCUUCUCCAGAGCGGCAGACAGCCGUUACGCUCACAGGAGGAAAACCACUGCUAACAGCACCAAAGGGGAAGGCGGAACGAAAGGUUUAACACGCGUAUGAAUCAGCACAGCCGCCCAGCUUUCAGCAGGUGAGGGCAGGCCUCCAGAGCGGCGGUGUGUCCGCCGCCAGCCACUGGCAAUGCCCGAGGCCGCGCUCGCUAGUGCCGCAGGCCCUUCCGCAACCCACCGCCAGUGCCCGCGCACGCUUGAGGGCCCCACUGCCGCCACCGAAUCCCGGGCGCCUCUUGGCGACGUUCGCUCGGUGCUUCCCCGAGGGUCCUACGUCCGGCCCAGCAGGGAGAGUACGGCCUACGCCUACGCCCCUCCGCGCCCACGCCAGAUGCCCACAGAGGUUCUAAGGCGCUUCCCGGUCGGCUGGAGCCUGGCCUCCUCACCCCGUGCCAGCCGAGGGAGACGGCUCUGAGAGGCCGAAAGGAGGCGACCGCAGCCGGCCCCAAGAAGUCUGUGCUCCGUACUUAGCAGACGCUGCCCCGGGCCGACAAGAUACUCCCCGCGCCGUUGCUAGGUCCUCUACUCGCGUCCUCCACCAGGGAGACAGCGUCGGCCGCUCCCACCGCGAGAGGUACAGGGGCAGACCGACGAGUCUAGAGGGGAGGGCUGGCCUCUGCCCCUGACACCGCCUGCCCCGCUCCGCGGACACCGCCCGCCUUUGCUCAAGCGUAUUGUCGCGCUUACCUGUGUGUGAGGGCUCGUUCUUCUCGCCCCGCCUGGCAGGCCACCAGCGGUGCCCCUUCGUGGGAAAUGGUUUCUCCCAGCUCCCCGCCGUAACCUCCUACUCCGCCUUCCGUUAGUGCCUGGCUCGGCAGGCGCCGGCUUGGAUGCUGUCGCUUGUGAGGCGCAACGCGCCCCGCCAGUUUGGCCCCGCAGCAUCCGUUCGCCGCCUGGGAGGAUCGGAGUGCCCGAGGGUCUCCCACCUUCGGCUCAUCAGAUCCCUGUCUAUUCCAGAACUGAUGUUUGCUAUAACUAGAGGCUGAAAUGGUAUGACUGAAGCUUUAAAUAAUUUGACUUUGACAACCAUCGUUUUCUGAGAACUUGGAACGGAAUUUGGGCUCUGCUUCUGCACUAUCUUAGGCUAUAAUGCCAUCCUUGCCUAAUGAGGGAGAUAACCAUGGAUCUGCACCUUUGACUUUGAGUUCGGAACUACCUUAUCAAAGUACAAUUAAAAGAAAAGCCAGGAAGAAGAAAAAUGGAGUCAUCACUGCAAAUGUUGCUGGCACAAAAUAUGAAAUUGUGCGUGUAGUAAUACGAGAAAUGGGGUUUGUGAAAACACGCGAUGAAGAUGAAACAGCUAAUCUCAUCUGGAGCGAUUCUGCUGUGCAGCAAGAAAAGAUUGCUGAACUUCGGAACUACCAGAGAAUCAACCAUUUUCCAGGAAUGGGGGAGAUCUGCAGAAAGGAUUUUCUGGCAAGAAACAUGACUAAAAUGAUCAAGAGUCAGCCUCAGGAGUAUAGUUUUAUUCCUCGAACGUGGAUCUUCCCUGCAGAAUACACACAGUUUCAGAACUACGUGAAAGAACUGAAGAAGAAGCGCAGACAGAAGACUUUCAUAGUCAAACCAGCUAACGGUGCAAUGGGGCAUGGGAUCUCUUUAAUAAGAAAUGGAGAAAAGUUACAAGCUCAGGAUCACUUGAUUGUUCAGGAGUAUCUUGACAAACCAUUUCUUAUGGAAGGCUACAAGUUUGAUUUACGUGUCUAUAUUCUUGUAACCUCCUGUGAUCCAUUAAAAGUAUUUUUAUAUCAUGAUGGACUCGUAAGAAUGGGCACAGAAAAGUAUCAUCCCCCCAGCGACUCAAAUUUGAGUCAAUUGUAUAUGCAUCUGACGAACUACUCUGUCAAUAAACAUAAUGAACACUUCGAACGGGAUGAAACAGAAGACAAAGGAAGUAAACGCUCCAUAAAAUGGUUUACUGAGUUUCUAGAAACAAAUAAUCUUGAUGUCUCCAAAUUCUGGAGUGAUAUUUCAGAGUUAGUAGUGAAGACUCUCAUAGUUGCAGAGCCACAUGUUCUUCAUGCUUAUCGCAUGUGCAGGCCAGGCCAAGCACCAGGAAGUGACAGUGUCUGCUUUGAAGUCCUGGGAUUUGAUAUUCUGCUGGACAGAAAACUAAAACCAUGGCUCCUAGAGAUUAAUCGUGCCCCAAGUUUUGGAACUGAUCAAAAAAUAGACUAUGAUGUAAAAAAAGGUGUUCUGCUAAAUGCAUUAAAGCUUCUCAACAUACGGACAAGUGAUAAAAGGAGAAAUUUAGCUCAACAGAAGGCUGAGGCUCAAAAAAGAUUAUAUGGUCAAGGUUCAAUGAAAAAACUGUUGCCAGGUUCCUCAGAGUGGGAGAAGCAGCGCCACACGCUGGAAAGGAGAAAGGAAGAACUGAAGGAAAGACUUGCACAAGUACGUAAACAGAUCUCCAAAGAGGAGCAUGAAAAUAGACACAUGGGGAACUACAGGCGAAUUUACCCUCCUGAUGAUAAGACACUGCUUGAAAAGUAUGAGAGUUUGUUAGCCACUGCUUUCCAGACGUUUCUUGCUGGGAGAGCAGCUUCACUUCAGAGGGAAAUGAAUAACCCUUUAAAAAGAAUGAAGGAGGAGGACAUUUUGGAUCUUCUGGAGCAGUGUGAAAUAGAUGAUGAAAAGCUAAUGGGAAAAUGCAGCAGGCAGCGAGGACCUAAGCCUUUGUGUUCAAUGCCAGAAAGUGCACAGCCUUUAAGAAAACUUAAGAACUACAUUAGUGAUAGCAGCUGUGAUAGCAGCAGCAGUAUGUCAGAGUCAGGAGAGGAAACCGAAAAGGAAGAUCAUAAUGAAAAAAAGGAGAAAAAAGUUUCAUAUGAUCUUGGAGAAAAUAAAUGCAAAUCUUUGGAGCGAUCAGGUAGAAUGAACUGGAAACCUUCAAUUAAAAAUACAAAAUCUCCAUCAUAUUCACCCCCCACAUCAUCCGCAGGCCCAAUAAGACGUUCUGUAAGCUGCCCUCGUUCAAUAUCUAUAUUGACUAUGCAGUCACAGGCAGCUGAGCAACGUCCCUUUUCAGCCAAAGCAUCUCUGAAAAUCCAGCGUGCAUCUUCAGUGAAUAGGUCUCAUUCUUUAAAUCGUAGCCCAUCUUCAGCCAGAGUCUCUCAGACAUCCAGCUUGGGAACUAUGAGCUCUUCAGGGUCAGCUAAUAGAAUUGGAAAGACAUUAAGAAUGUGUCUUCACCGCAACGUGUUAAAGAGUGAGUCUUUGCUGCAGCAGAAAACAAAAGAGCAAGAAGUUGCUUUGACGAAAGAGACUCUUCUCAUUAUCAGUGACAUGAGAAUUAAAUUCCCGGGAAAAACAGAUGAGGAAUCAGAACUGAUUAUAGAAGAUAUUAUGGAUAAUUGGAAGCAUCACAAAACAAAAGUGGCAUCCUAUUGGUUGGUAAAACUGGAUUCUGUUAAGCAACGAAAAGUUUUGGAUAUAGUCAAGACAAGUGUUCGUGCAGUUCUACAGCGUGUCUGGAAGGCUCCAGACAUCGAAAAUUUACAUUUGUACCGUCUCUUUAACCGUGUGUUUAAUCGCUUGCUUUGGAGCCAUGGCCAAGGUCUGUGGAACUGUUUCUGUAAUUCAGGGAACUCUUGGGAAACCAUAUUCAGUAAAAGCGCAGAGGUGGUGACUCCUGAGCAACUCCAGUGUUGCCAACGAAUAGUACAACUUUGUAAACACUGCCUGCUGGUAGUUUACAAAUAUUCAUCAGAUUCAAGAGGAUCCCCAACUGGGAUUAGCCCUCACUGGGAUGAUACAAGAUCCCUCAAAGUCACUGAUUCCAGAUUUGCAUUCCUAGAAGUAUCCUAAAAUGUAUGAUACUUCUGGGCUUCACAUUCGCAGUGGGAUGCUAUAGGGGCACAGCUCCAGCCAAAGGUCAGGUGUUUAUUGCCAGGACCUUCACUGUUCAUCGUGAAAUCAUCCUCAUCCAGCCUUAGCGGCACUUCAUCUGGAAUGCCUCACCCU